rnacentral:rRNA from 1 species
AUACCUACGGGAGGCAGCAGUGAGGAAUAUUGGUCAAUGGGCGGAAGCCUGAACCAGCCAAGUCGCGUGAGGGAAUAAGGCCCUACGGGUUGUAAACUUCUUUUGUCAGGGAGCAAUUGGGUCCACGUGUGGGCUUAGCGAGAGUACCUGAAGAAAAAGCAUCGGCUAACUCCGUGCCAGCAGCCGCGGUAAUACGGAGGAUGCGAGCGUUAUCCGGAUUUAUUGGGUUUAAAGGGUGCGUAGGCGGAAUAUCAAGUCAGCGGUAAAAAUUCGGGGCUCAACCCCGUCGUGCCGUUGAAACUGAU